rnacentral:rRNA from 1 species
CCACAAUGGACGAAAGUCUGAUGGAGCGACGCCGCGUGCGGGAUGAAGGCCUUAUGGGUUGUAAACCGCUGUCAGGGGGGAAGAACAUCGGAAUGAACAAUACUCAUUCCGACUGACGUUACCCCAGAGGAAGCUCCGGCCAACUCCGUGCCAGCAGCCGCGGUAAUACGGGGGGAGCAAGCGUUGUCCGGAAUUAUUGGGCGUAAAGGGCGUGUAGGCGGCGAGGUAAGUCGAAUGUGGAAAAUCUCACGGCUCAACCGUGAAACUGCGUUCGAAAACU